rnacentral:rRNA from 1 species
GUGGGGAAUAUUGGACAAUGGGCGAAAGCCUGAUCCAGCCAUGCCGCGUGUGUGAAGAAGGUCUUCGGAUUGUAAAGCACUUUAAGUUGGGAGGAAGGGCAGUAAGUUAAUACCUUGCUGUUUUGACGUUACCGACAGAAUAAGCACCGGCUAACUUCGUGCCAGCAGCCGCGGUAAUACGAAGGGUGCAAGCGUUAAUCGGAAUUACUGGGCGUAAAGCGCGCGUAGGUGGUUUUGUAAGUUGGAGGUGAAAUCCCCGGGCUCAACCUGGGAACUGCCUCCAAAACUGCAUGACUAGAGUACGGUAGAGGGUAGUGGAAUUUCCUGUGUAGCGGUGAAAUGCGUAGAUAUAGGAUGGAACACCAGUGGCGAAGGCGACUACCUGGACUGAUACUGACACUGAGGUGCGAAAGCGUGGGGAGCAAACAGGAUUAGAAACCCCAGUAGUCC